AGGACAGGUGCUGCACGGCUGUCGUCAGCUCGUGUCGUGAGAUGUUGGUUAAGUCCCGCAACGAGCGCAACCCUUGCCUUAGUUGCCAGCAGUUCGGCUGGGCACUCUAAAGGGACUGCCGGUGUUAAACCGGAGGAAGGUGGGGAUGACGUCAAGUCCUCAUGGCCUUUAUGACCAGGGCUACACACGUACUACAAUGGCCGAUACAAAGGGUAGCGACACUGCGAGGUGAAGCCAAUCCCGUAAAAUCGGUCUCAGUCCGGAUUGGAGUCUGCAACUCGACUCCAUGAAGUUGGAAUCGCUAGUAAUCGUGGAUCAGCAUGCCACGGUGAAUACGUUCCCGGGCCUU
rnacentral:rRNA from 1 species